GUCUCCGUAGCUCAGUAGGAUAGAGCGACUCCCUCCUAAGGAGUAGGUCGUUGGUUCGAUUCCAAUCGGGGACA
rnacentral:tRNA from 1 species